rnacentral:rRNA from 1 species
UGGAUAACCGUGACAAAUUACAGCUAAUACAUGCAGUCAGACCUGGUCCAAGGGUCGUAAUUAUUAGUACUAAACUAAUUCCGCAAGGAUUGUGAUGAAUCAUAGUAAUCGAACGAAUCGCAGGUAUAUGCGAUAAAUCAUUCAAGUUUCUGCCCUAUCAGCUUUGGAUGGUAGUGUAUUGGACUACCAUGGCAGUCACGGGUAACGGAGAAUUAGGGUUCGAUUCCGGAGAGGGAGCCUGAGAAACGGCUACCACAUCUACGGAAGGCAGCAGGCGCGCAAAUUGCCCAAUCCUGACACGGGGAGGCAGUGACAAGAAAUAACAACUCUAGGUUUUCUUAGAAGUGUAAUGAGGAUAAUUUACAAACCUUACCGAAUGCAAUUGGAGGGCAAGUCUGGUGCCAGCAGCCGCGGUAAUUCCAGCUCCAAUAGCGUAUAUUAAAGUUGUUGCAGUUAAAAAGCUCGUAGUUGAAGUUCUGAUUGUUCAGGUCUUCAGUCAUUAGACGGGGAUUCUGACAGUCAUCCGCUUGCAAACAUAUGUUCGAUUUUAACCGAUCGGCUAUGUGAGUAAGCAUUUUACCUUGAGAAAAACAGAGUGUUCCAGGCAGGUUUGUCCGGAAUGCAUUAGCAUGGAAUAAUAGAACAUGACUGGAGUCUAUUUAUUGGUUUAAGGCUUUAGUAAUGAUUAAUAGGAACAGUCGGGGGCAUUCGUACUCAGCAGUCAGAGGUGAAAUUCUAAGAUUUGCUGAAGACGAACUAAUGCGAAAGCAUUUGCCAAGGAUGUUUUCAUUAAUCAAGAACGAAAGUUAGGGGAUCAAAGACGAUCAGAUACCGUCCUAGUCUUAACUAUAAACGAUACCGACUCGGAUUCAGAUGAAUCAUAAAGUUCAUUUGGGACCGUAGGAGAAAUCAAAGUCUUUGGGUUCUGGGGGGAGUAUGGUCGCAAGGCUGAAACUUAAAGGAAUUGACGGUUUUGCACCACCAUGGAGUGGAGUUUGCGGCUUAAUUUGACUCAACACUGGGAAACUCAUCAGGGCAAGAAGAUUUUAGGAUUGACAGAUUGAGAGUUCUUUCUUGAUUGGUCUAGUGGUGGUGCAUGGCCGUUCUUAGUUGGUGGAGUGAUUUGUCUGGUUAAUUCCGUUAACGAACGAGACCUUAACCUGCUAACUAGUGUUUCGAUUCAUAAUCGAAAGCACUUCUUAGAGGGACUAUGUGAUGUAAUCACAUGGAAGUUUGAGGCAAUAACAGGUCUGUGAUGCCCUUAGAUGUCCUGAGCUGCACGCGUACUACAAUGGCACUUUCAACGAGUUUUUCCUGAUCCGAAAGGAUUUGGGUAAUCUUUUUAGUGAGUGCCGUGCUUGGGAUUGAUCUUUGUAAUUGUGGAUCAUGAACUAGGAAUUCCUAGUAAGCGCGAGUCAUCAGCUCGUGCUGAUUACGUCCCUGCAAAAUGUACACACCGCCC